rnacentral:rRNA from 1 species
GUAGCUGGCUGAACAAGUCCCCUGUUAAACCCACCGAUUUAAUCGUUGGUCUGCGGGGGAUACUGCUCGGCUAGGGGACGAGAGAGGCAGACGGUAUUCCCGGGGUAGGGGUGAAAUCCUAUAAUCCCGAGAAGACCACCAGUGGCGAAGGCUGUCUGCUAGAACGCGCCCGACGGUGAGGGAUGAAAGCUGGGGGAGCGAACCGGAUUAGAUACCCGGGUAGUCCCAGCUGUAAACGAUGCAGACUAGGUGUUUGGACGGCCACGUGCCGUUCUAGUGCCGCA